AUUGAACGCUGGCGGCAGGCCUAACACAUGCAAGUCGAACGAGUGGCGGACGGGUGAGUAAUGUCUGGGAAACUGCCCGAUGGAGGGGGAUAACUACUGGAACCGGUAGCUAAUACCGCAUACCAUCAGAUGUGCCCAGAUGGGAUUAGCUAGUAGGUGGGGUAACGGCUCACCUAGGCGCCGAUCCCUAGCUGGUCUGAUAGGAUGACCAGCCACACUGGAACGUAGACACGGUCCAGACUCCUACGGGAGGCAGCAGUGGGGAAUAGUGCACAAUGGGCGCAAGCCUGAUGCAGCCAUGCCGCGUGUGUGAAGAAGGCCUUCGGGUUGUAAAGCACUUUCAGCGGGGAGGCGUUACCCGCAGAAGAAGCACCGGCUAACUCCGUGCCAGCAGCCGCGGUAAUAC
rnacentral:rRNA from 1 species